rnacentral:rRNA from 1 species
GACGAACGCUGGCGGCGUGCUUAACACAUGCAAGUCGAACGGUGAAGCGCCUUCCUUUUUGGUGGGUGUGGAUGAGUGGCGAACGGGUGAGUAACACGUGAGUAACCUGCCCCCUUCUGCUGGAUAACCGCAUGAAAGUGUGGCUAAUACGGGAUAUUCUGGGUCUGUCGCAUGAUGGGUCUGGGUAAGAUAUUGUUUCGGUGGGGGAUGGGCUCGCGGCGUAUCAGCUGGUUGGUGGGGUGGUGGCCUACCAAGGCGGUGACGGGCAGCCGGCCUGAGAGGGUGGACGGCCACAGUGGGAGGGAGAGAUGGUCCAGACUACGACGGGAGCCCGCAGGGGGGACUAUUGGACGAUGGGCGUAAGGAUGAUGCAGCGACGCCGCGGGGGGGAUGGCGGCCUUGGGGUGUUGAACCUCUUUCGCCAGGGAAGCAGGCCUGCCUUGUCUGUGGGUGGGUUGACGGUAGCUGGAUAAGAAGCGCCGGCUAACUACGUG